AGAGUGGGCUGAGGCCGAGGAGGCGCGGAGAGCCAGCGAGGGAUGCCAGCAAGCUGUCACCUCUCAGAAAUACAGGAAGAACAUCAAUAAUGUUCGAAGUUAUAAAGCUGGAAUGCACUUGGAUACCAGAGAUUUUGAUUUCUUAAUGUGAAAUAAGUUGCGGAGGUCAGAAGUCAGAAAACAAGGUGUCUGCAGGACCAACCUCUCCUCUGGAUGCUCUAGGUGAGAAUCUUUUCCAUGCCUUUCUCUUAGCUUCUGAUGUUGCCAUCAGAACUUCAGAUGGUGUUCCUUGGCUUCUGUUAAUAUUAAUACAUAAAUCCUUUUCAGUCUCAGCUUCUGUCUUCACAUGGUCCUCUCCAUAUCCUAUCUGUUUCUGUUCCCUCUUCUUAUAAAGAUAACCCAUGUUGUUUUAAGUCCCACCUAAAGACCUAAUUUUAGCUUGAUUACAUCUGCAAAAACUUUGUGUCCAAAUAAGGUUUCAUUUACCUUGUGUGUAUAACUAGGGGUUAGGGCUUGAACAUACGGGUUUGGGGAGGGGAACACAAUUCAGACCAUGACACUCAUUGUUUCACUCAUUAAUGAGUUAAGGGUGCUUUGAUAUUAUUACAUUUGAAUGAGAGUGGUUUUUAAAAUUACAUUUUGUCGCGUAGUUUGUUCCACCCUGAUGCUUAAAGGGAGUCACCUGCCUCAGCCAAUUAAACUGUGUUGUCUCUGCAGUGCGUUUUAUCACAAGAACAUGACCUUUAAGCACAAGAACACCUUGUAUUCCACCACUAAAAACAGAAAUGACAUCUACCUUCACUGCUUCCCUAUUUCUCUCCAUCUUUACUGACUUGGUAUUUUGUUGUUGCUGUCAUUUCUGGUUGUUGGUCAAUUUUCAUUUCUAUUCUUAUUUUGCUGAUAAUUCUUAUAAAUCAGUGCUGAAUUUUGUCAAAUUAUUUUUCUGCAUCUCUACAGAUGAUCAUUUUAUGUUUUUGUCUCUGUGAUAAUUUGGUGAAUGUCAUUGAUCAAUUUUUAAAUAAUGAAUAUCUUUGCAUUUAAGAUAAUAUUUUUCACUAUUAAUGUUAUCUCUGAAAUGAAAGCUAAACCUAGUCAAUAGAUAUUAGAGGUGCAUGAUUUUUAAAAUUGUAUAAAAUUAGAUAAAAAAUACAAAGAAAUAUAUAUAA
ensembl:lncRNA novel transcript